AGGAGAUGGAGAGCGGCUUACGGUCCAAUGGACUGAGGAAAGUCCCCUCUCCUAGAGCGAAGCAGCCGAAAGGGGCCUGAGAGGGUCGGCAAUGGAACAGAAACGCCACAGCCAUUGACUAAUGGAGUGAUCGCAUUGUGCGUGACGUCGUCGAUGGAUUUGAUGAAACGCCCAUCCCUGCUGGAGCAAUUCCAAGAAACCGCUACGACCUGCUCGGGAGCGGAUGGUAGGAAGCUUAGUUGAAUGCCGCUAACCGGAAUUUCCGGGUAACAGAAAGGGGCUUACUCCCAUCACCU
rnacentral:RNase_P_RNA from 2 species